rnacentral:tRNA from 1 species
GGGGCUGUAGCUCAGCUGGGAGAGCGCCACGCUGGCAGCGUGGAGGUCGGGGGUUCGAGCCCCCUCAGCUCCA